rnacentral:rRNA from 1 species
AGCGAACGCUGGCGGCAGGCUUAACACAUGCAAGUCGAGCGGGCAUCCUUGUGGUGUCAGCGGCAGACGGGUGAGUAACGCGUGGGAACGUGCCCUUCGGUUCGGAAUAACUCAGGGAAACUUGAGCUAAUACCGGAUACGUUCGAGAGCAGAAAGGUUUAUCUGCCGAAGGAUCGGCCCGCGUCUGAUUAGCUAGUUGGUGAGGUUAUGGCUCACCAAGGCGACGAUCAGUAGCUGGUCUGAGAGGAUGAUCAGCCACACUGGGACUGAGACACGGCCCAGACUCCUACGGGAGGCAGCAGUGGGGAAUAUUGGACAAUGGGGGCAACCCUGAUCCAGCCAUGCCGCGUGAGUGAUGCCGGCCUUAGGGUUGUAAAGCUCUUUUCUCCGGGACGAUAAUGACGGUACCGGAGGAAUAAGCCCCGGCUAACUUCGUG